rnacentral:tRNA from 1 species
UUCUUUAUAGUUUAAUGGUUAAAAAAACAUUUGGCUGUUAACCAAAAAAUAUUGGUUCAAUUCCAUUUAAAGAAG